AUAUUGUAACAGCGUGUAAAAGGAAUCUGGUGAACCAGUGCACCGGGAAACGAAAAUAUUAGUACAAGAAAAUAUUAGUCGAAGAAAACGUGAAAACAUAUGGUAAACGCGAUGGAUUAGCUAGCUACCCGCUGCAGAUGGAAGUUCCUUCGGCAGUGAAAAUUUGAGAACGGUCAGCUACCGGCCGAGACGACGACGUUACGUUAAAGCGUUUUGAUUUACUAGCUACGCUCCGCCCAGAAGGUUAUGAACGCUCGAACGGUGGACCUUUUUGCCAAAAAUAUGACUCAGCUUGCCUAGGAUCACGUGGAGACUUUUAUUUAUGAAUUCGUUCGACAGAUUAUCUCAAGGGGAGUACACAUAGACAAACGGAUCCAAGCCCAGCCGUCCAAAUGUAAAACAACACCAG